AGAUUGCAGAAAUGUUGCAUAGACCUUGCAUUGAAACAUUGUAAUAUUGCAUAGAAGUUGCGAAAUGUUUCUGCCAUAGACAUAGUAUAUCUAGACCGAGUGUUGAGGAGUGGGGGCCGAUGCUCACGUAGAAAAGGACAUACUCUGUUUCGUGCCCCUUGCGUUCUCUCUCAUUCAUACAUGCGUAGAAAUAGAGGAACAGGGAAUUGGGAACGGUGGAACUGCGUAGUGAAGACCAUACGUACAUGUGCGUACAUGAUCCUGCAACUGUUUCAAACCGAAAAUUCCAUCGAAGAAAAAUAAUACAAAAUCAAAAGUGCGACUAGAAUUGCAAUAGUUAACAAUGGUUAAAUGCUACAUAUGCUGGAAAGAACAUUCUGUUUUAUUAUCGCGGCAAUUUCACAGACAGCACAAGGAUGUCCUUAAGACGUCCAAAGGGCAUCUAGGACAUGUAGGAUAUCC